GGCAAUAUUAGUGAAGCUGCAGACGUGAGGAACUAUGUCAGGCUUAUUGCAGGUAUGCAAGAAGCAACGACAGAGUUGGUUUUUGCUUUUUGGGAUUUUUAUGUUGUGUGUCCGGGAAUUUCAGGCUUGGUCUGUAUUAUAAUGAACAAGUGCAGCCUGGGGUUGCAUUAUGGGGGAUGGCCAUGAUGUGUGUUCUUCAAUUUUAGACAAGUCUAGAUACAUAUCGAUGUAGUGGAUUCAAUUCACCGCACAAUGAACUAGAGCAUCUCUUCUGGAAAGUAGAUAAGUUGUUUUAGAUCAUUACAUAUUACGUCCAGUUUACUUCUCUGUUUAUUUCAAGAAAAAACUAGGUGUUUGCCUACUUGGACCGCUCCAUGUUAUGCUCACCUAAUGAUGCAAUAGGAUAUGUGCUUUUUAGAAACUCAAAUUAUACUCUAUUCUGAUGGAACUUUUUGAUAUUGUUGUCUUUCUAGACAUGGAGUGUACAUCCAUUCAAGAAGUCAAGAAGGUGUGGUCCUUAGCAGUAUUUAUUUGCAGCAACAUGGGAGAUCAAAAAAUGAUGCUCAAGUUAACCUCUCAGUACAUAUUAGUGGCAAAGCUAUUCACCUCCUCGACGCCGAAAUCGCCAGUCUUUCCCACAGCCUGACUCAACAUGCAAAGUAACUCUACAUCCUGAUGCUUAAUCAGUUACUUUGCAUGUAUGUAAAACUAAUGUUUAAUCAGUUACUUAAUGGUCUAUUCCACCUUUUCCAUUUUUUAUACCCAUCUAAUGCUUUUUUAGAAUUGCACCUCUGUAGGAAAAUAGACCAAAAUUUCUCAUAUUUUUGCAGAGCUUACUUAUGCCAUCCACUUUCCAAUCCGUUCAUGCCUCUCAAAUAGACAUUUGCCAGUCAAUAUAGAUUUGUGCUUUAUUAGUUACUAAGAAGCCUUUAGCCUAUCUGUAGAUGUUCACUUACUAGGAAACUUUGUUCAGGUCAGUCAAGGAAAGGAGGCACGUUGUUCACUUUCUAGCCUAUUUGUAAAAGAAACUUUGUUCACGUCACUUACUAGGCUAUGCACAUGAAGAAAUUGUAAAACCUGUAUAGAGUAUUAUUAGUGUGAAGCAUGUUCAGUUAACUUGGUUACGAAAAAGAUGUUCAUCAGCAAGCUAUACAUUAAAAACAUUCCAGAUUAUUACAAUUUAACCUAUAGAUAGUUCAAUCAAAUCAGAUGCCCCUAUCUUAUAUCAUUUGUUCAGGUCAGUAAAGGAAAGGAGGCACAUUGGUUUUCUAAGAUAGAAAAUGGUGUUUCAUUCAGCAACUAUCACAAUAUAGAUGAAGUUUGAGAUUUAUCAGGAGUUUGUGGUUCAUUUUGCUUGCUAUUUUACAACAGAUUUUAGUCCUAAAGGUUGGUUCUAACACCCCGAAUGACACUCCCCGGGAAAUAAAGUUAUCCUCUCAACAGGGCGUCACUCGGUGAAACUUCUAUAGGUAACCUUCAGCUUCAUAAGAGGACAUCUUUUUGCCAGUUAUUAUAUAGAACACUACUAGACAGUCCCAAGAAUUCUUUCGUGUGCAUGAACAUGCUUUUUUUCCAGUGAAUCCAUCUCUCAUCGCACAUCCAUUCAUUAAUAUUAGAUGAUAAAUCUUUUAGAGGUUCACUGUAUAUGUAGAUACACAGAUUUGUAUUCCGUAGAACUUCUCUCUCUGGUGAAAGGUAUCUACAAUGUCUACUUAAAUCACUAGAACACCUGUUGAAUCUACGUUCGUCCAUGCAGCAUACCAAAUUACUUAUUUUCCAGAAAACAAAUUCUGUGUAGUGUGAUGCUUAAUAGCCUUUCCUAUAUAUGUACAAACUGCAAGAGAUACGUACAGUUCCUGACCUGUGAACGACUGCUUAGUGCUAUUGGUUCUUUCUACAUCAAAGGUACAUACAUCUACAAGUUCUUUGUAGUUCAAAUGGACUAUCCUCUAUAAUAAUUAUUAUUAUGUAGAACUGUUAAUUCACUUACAUGUGCCCUUUGCGGGAGUGAAAAUUGAAAACCUCUAUGGAGCAGAUUAGAUUGGUAAUAAACUAAUAGUUAAUUAUGUAGUUGUAAUUGGCCAGCGAUGGUUUAAGCGUUAUUCCAUACUAACAUUUAUGUGAUAUUUGAUCUUAAUGUUAUCUUUUGAUCUACUACUUCCUAUAGAUUGGCCUAAUUUCACUUCAACCAGAAAAAGAGUUUGCCAUGAUACAUUAACUUUCUAUCUGCUUUCGCCUUUCUAAUGUUUUUCUUGCUCUGAAAUGUGUUUAUUCAGCAUCAGCUCUAGAUGGAGAUUUAACAUUGUGGGCCACUUAAUGGGCACAACAGCGACAGAAAUAUAUGAGGGACAAGAAUGCUUCUGUGUAGAGUAUGGUCAUGAUUCUCAAGUUGAGAAGCUAAUGGAGACAGCUACACGUGUUCCUCCUUUUCUGAGGCACAAUAGAGCAGAUAAUGUGGACAUUGUUUUAUCUGUACUAUCUAGACAUAGGUAUAUAUUUCUUCAUGGUAGCCAAGCAAGCAUAUUGGCUACAACAUUCAGUGUACAUGCAUAGUAUAAUCACGAAUCACAAUCACAUAUUGUGCUCAUUGUCCAAUGUGUUGUAGGACCCCAUUAUGAUAUCAUGUUUGAUGGUAAUUACAAUAUGUUUGAC
rnacentral:lncRNA from 1 species